AAGUCUGCUGAGAGGUGGAUGUGCCCGAAAGGGAGCCAUAACACAGGUGCUGCAUGGCUGUCGUCAGCUCGGGUCGUGAGAUGUUGGGUUAAGUCCCGCAACGAGCGCAACCCUUGUCCCUAGUUGCUACGCAAGAGCACUCCAGGGAGACUGCCGGUGACAAACCGGAGGAAGGUGGGGAUGACGUCAAGUCCUCAUGGCCCUUAUGGGUAGGGCUUCACACGUCAUACAAUGGUCGGAACAGAGGGUCGCCAACCCGCGAGGGGGAGCCAAUCCCAGAAAACCGAUCGUAGUCCGGAUCGCACUCUGCAACUCGGGUGCGUGAAGCUGGAAUCGCUAGUAAUCGCGGAUCAGCAUGCCGCGGUGAAUACGUUCCCGGGU
rnacentral:rRNA from 1 species